GGCAUCCCCGGAAGUGACGUCGGAGAUUACUCCCCUCUUCUCUAGGGCUUGUCUAGGGUUGCGCUCUCUAUCGUUUUAACGCUUUCUGGACCAGCUAUAAUUCAGCAAAGUAGCAUGUUCCCGGAAUUAAGGGAAAGGGAGAUGGAAAGACUUCGGGAUACCUGAGGAAGAGGGGUGAAGAGGAAGCAGGCUCCACUCGUUUUCGCUCAGCACCGUUGCGCUCCCGUUGCCCUCCUCCUUCACCACCCACCGGAGGGGUGGUCUCUGCUUGGUGUCCGACUCAACCUCAUUGGCCUCUCCUGCCGGGUUUACUUUGCAUUGCCCAGGCUGUACAUCGGAGCCAAAAGUGUCCUCCACGGGGGUCUUCUUCCCAGCAAUGAUGCAGGAUCGUCCAUUGCUACUCCCAGCUGGGGCGACGUCAAGGCCUCCUCCUGCUUCCUCUUUUAUUGCCGAUUUGUUGGAGGAGGAGUUCAACAUCACACAAAGCCAACACAUUGUCCUCUGUGAAGGAACCUUUGAAGCUGGGAUGAGCAAGAGCAGAGGUUUGUUGUUCUAUCUGGAUCUUCUCCCUGAUGGGAAAUGGGACAAAUGAUAACAAAACACGUUCUUGCAGUUAAAGCAGGGUCAAGCUGCAGUCAUUCUACAGUAUAGAGGUACACCCAAGGCCACAAAGUAAGGCACUCUAACUACAAUCAACCCUCCAUAUUUUCAGAUGCCACCAACCAUGGCUUGAAAAUCUAUACACAUAAUAAAAGGGAAAAUGUGUAUGUA